rnacentral:rRNA from 1 species
AUGGAGAUGGUGGAGAAGCUUUCUCUCACCACAAGACCACAUCCACAUCCUUACUACAUCCAAUGGUUCAACAACAGCGGCAAGGUUAAGGUAACACGUACUGUUCGUGUGCAUUUUAGUAUCUCUACAUAUGCUGAUUAUGUUGAUUGUGAUGUGGUACCUAUGCAAGCAUGUUCCUUAUUACUUGGUAGACCAUGGCAAUUUGAUAAAAAUUCUGUACACCAUGGUAGAAACAAUCACUAUACUCUUGUUCAUAAGGAUAAAAAUAUUACUUUGCUUCCUAUGACUCCUGAUUCCAUUUUGAAAGAUGAUAUUAAUAGAGCUAAUAAAGCACAACAGGAGAAGAAUAAGAGUGAAAAUCAGAUUGUGGCACAAGAAUUUGAGCAACAAAUGAAGCCUAAUAAUAAACCAUCUAGUGUUGCUUCUGAAAUUAAAUUGAAAAGUGCAUGUUUAUUUGCCACCAAAUCUGAUAUUGAUGAGCUAGAUUUCAGCAAAUCUGUUUGCUAUGCUUUUGUGUGCAAAGAGGCAUUAUUUUCAUUCGAGGACGUGCCUUCCUCUUUGCCUCCUGCUGUCACUAACAUUUUGCAGGAGUUCGCUGACGUUUUUCCACAAGACGUGCCACCGGGAUUACCGCCUAUUCGAGGGAUUGAGCAUCAGAUUGACUUAAUUCCCGGUGCUUCACUGCCAAACCGUGCACCAUACCGUACCAAUCCAGAGGAGACGAAGGAGAUUAUGCGUCAAGUACAAGAGCUUCUCGACAAAGGUUAUAUACGCGAAUCCCUUAGUCCUUGUGCUGUUCCUAUUAUUCUAGUGCCGAAAAAGGAUGGUACAUCACGUAUGUGUGUUGAUUGUAGAGGCAUUAAGAAUAUUACUAUUCGUUAUCGUCAUCCUAUUCCUAGGCUAGAUGAUAUGCUUGAUGAAUUGAGUGGCUCUACAAUAUUCUCCAAAGUUGAUUUGCGUAGUGGCUACCAUCAAAUUCGUAUGAAAUUGGGAGAUGAAUGGAAAACAGCAUUUAAAACUAAGUUUGGAUUAUAUGAGUGGUUAGUCAUGCCUUUUGGGUUAACUAAUGCACCUAGUACUUUCAUGAGAUUAAUGAACGAAGUUUUACGUGCUUUCAUUGGACGAUUUGUGGUAGUUUACUUUGAUGACAUAUUGAUUUAUAGCAGAUCUUUGGAGGAACAUUUGGAACAUUUACGUGCUGUUUUUAUUGCUCUACGUGAUGCACGUUUGUUUGGUAACCUUGGGAAGUGCACCUUUUGCACCGACCGAGUAUCUUUUCUUGGCUAUGUUGUUACUCCACAGGGAAUUGAAGUUGAUAAAGCCAAGAUUGAAGCUAUUGAGAGUUGGACGCAGCCCAAAACGGUCACACAAGUGAGGAGUUUUCUUGGCCUCGCUGGAUUCUAUAGGCGUUUUGUGAGAGAUUUCAGCACCAUUGCUGCACCUCUCAAUGAGCUUACAAAGAAAGAUGUGCCUUUUCUUUGGGGUACCGCACAGGAAGAAGCCUUCACGGUAUUGAAAGAUAAGUUGACACAUGCUCCUUUACUCCAACUUCCUGAUUUUAAUAAGACUUUUGAGCUUGAAUGUGAUGCUAGUGGAAUUGGAUUAGGAGGUGUGUUAUUACAAGAUUGCAAACCUGUUGCAUACUUUUCUGAAAAAUUGAGUGGGCCUAGUCUGAAUUAUUCUACUUAUGAUAAAGAAUUAUAUGCUCUUGUUCGGACUUUAGAAACAUGGCAACAUUAUUUAUGGCCCAAAGAAUUUGUUAUACAUUCUGAUCAUGAAUCUUUGAAACAUAUUAAAAGUCAAGCUAAACUGAAUCGUAGACAUGCUAAAUGGGUUGAAUUCAUUGAGACUUUCCCUUAUGUCAUUAAACACAAGAAGGGAAAAGAAAAUGUUAUGGCUGAUGCUUUGUCUCGUCGCUAUACUAUGCUUUCACAACUUGACUUCAAAAUAUUUGGUUUGGAGACCAUCAAAGAUCAAUAUGUGCAUGAUGCUGAUUUUAAAGAUGUAAUGCAGAAUUGUAAAGAAGGAAGAAUGUGGAACAAGUUUGUUGUUAACGAUGGAUUUGUGUUUCGUGCUAACAAGCUAUGCAUUCCAGCUAGCUCCGUUCGUCUUUUGUUGUUGCAGGAGGCGCAUGGAGGAGGAUUAAUGGGACACUUUGGCGUGAAGAAGACGGAGGACGUACUUGCUACACAUUUCUUUUGGCCAAAGAUGAGACGGGAUGUUGAGCGUUUUAUUGCUCGCUGCACUACAUGUCAAAAAGCUAAGUCACGACUCAAUCCUCAUGGUUUAUAUAUGCCUUUGCCUGUACCUAGUGUUCCUUGGGAGGAUAUAUCUAUGGACUUUGUUUUAGGUUUACCUCGAACAAAGAAGGGGAGGGAUAGCAUAUUUGUUGUCGUGGAUAGAUUCUCGAAAAUGGCACACUUUAUACCAUGUCAUAAAAGCGAUGAUGCUGUUAAUGUUGCUAAUUUGUAUCGUGAUACUAAAUUUCUUAGCCACUUUUGGAGAUGUUUAUGGGCUAAGUUGGGGACUAAACUGCUUUUUAGUACUACUUGUCACCCCCAAACUGAUGGACAAACUGAAGUAGUCAAUAGAACGUUGUCUACUAUGCUUAGGGCUGUUUUGAAGAAUAAUAAGAAAAUGUGGGAGGAAUGCUUGCCUCAUAUUGAAUUUGCUUAUAAUCGUUCAUUGCAUUCUACUACUAAGAUGUGCCCUUUUGAAGUUGUGUAUGGUUUCCUACCUCGUGCACCUAUUGAUUUGUUGCUUCUUCCAUCUCCGGAGAAGGUUAAUUUUGAUGCUAAACAACGUGCUGAAUUGAUUUUAAAAAUGCAUGAGUUAACUAAGGAAAACAUUGAGCGCAUGAAUGCUAAAUAUAAACUUGCUGGAGAUAAGGGUAGAAAACAUGUUGUGUUUGCACCUGGAGAUCUUGUUUGGUUACAUUUGCGUAAGGAUAGAUUUCCUGAUUUGCGCAAAUCAAAGUUAAUGCCACGUGCUGAUGGUCCCUUUAAGGUGUUAGAGAAAAUAAAUGAUAAUGCAUAUAAACUUGAGCUGCCUGCAGAUUUUGGGGUUAGUCCCACUUUUAACAUUGCAGAUUUGAAGCCUUAUUUGGGUGAGGAAGAUGAACUUCCAUCGAGGACGACUUCAUUUCAAGAAGGGGAGGAUGAUGAGGACAUCAAUACAAUUGUUACACCCACAACCCCUGCUACUAUACAUACUGGACCAAUUACUAGAGCUCGUGCACGCCAACUAAAUUACCAGCGUGCUUCCGGCAUCGUCAGUAACCUCAGGGGAUUGGUUUAG